CCGCCUCCCGGAUUCCCUCCAUUCUCUCGCCUCAGCCUCCCGAGUAGCCGGUACUACAGGUGCCCACCACAAUGCCCGGCUGAGUUUUUUUGUAUUUUUAGUGGAGAUGAGGUUUCACCGUAUUAGCCAGGUGUGGUUUGAUGUGAACCCAAAUGUGCCAGUUCUCUAAAUUCCAGAAUUAGGCAAACUUAUCUACCCAGUUUCAGAAAGGACUAGACUGAGAGUUAGCAGCAAUACCUAUUAGGAAGCAGCAGUUCUCAUUAUUACUCCAAGAAGCACCAGGGCAUCAAAGUAUAUAAGCUGUGGCAGAGCUCAUUCAUCAAGAUUUGACUGGCGCUAUUCUCAAUAUGAAUGGAAGUUAAGUGAGCUUCAGAGGUGGUCUUGGCUGUGGGAUAUUGAAUGGGAUUUUGAGAACUGUGGAGACCAGUAAUUCUACAUUUAGUCUCUGACAAUGCCGGUUGGCAUUUUAGCUCCUCAAUGAAAACAGUUCAAUGACUAGCAUUGCUACCGUUGGAAGAUAUCUACCCAUAAAAUAUUGCUUUUUUAUAUGAAAGCCUCUCAUCUUCAUACUGACAUCCUAAAUCAAAGUCAGCAUCAGGAGCCACAGAGAAGAGAAGAAUUAUUUAGAGAGCUGUGUUAAAUCACCAUUCAGAAUUUUACAUAAAGCACUUGGUAAACCACAAAAAAACAGCAGAUUUAUUUAAUAACACCGUAAAUAACCAACUGCACCACUAUAAAUCAGCUUGUAGUAUAACAAUACUUUUAGGCACAGCAUUCCCAACAUUAAAGACUCCGAAUUUACCAAAAAUGGUUUUCGGUUGUUUCCUGGUGGUUUCCUGGCUAGUGACACUAUCACAAAUUGUAGAAAAAAUAAAUUUAGAAUGAGUAUGUGCGUAAGGACCAUUUAAAAGUCUGACAGCAGUUACAACCAAAUUGUACUAUAUUUUCAUAUUGUCAAAUGAAUAUGAGCUGGAACAUCUUCAAUACUGCUGUUUUAUUAUCAUUUAACUGUGUUUCCAGCACACAAAAUAUUGGCAGUAUCAGGCAACUGGGUUUUCAUCACAAAAGCAAAAAUCUAGUUCUCAGCUCUAGGCCACUGCUUUUUGAAAAAAAAAAAAACUGGCUGAAGAAUAUAAUAAUAGGGCAGCAGGGAAUACUUAGUGAAAUUUAUCUCCAUAGCUUCAUUCCCUCUCUCUCUCUUUCCUUAUUUUUUCAUUUCCCCCUCUUUUUCUCUCUCUAUUUCAUUUUGCCAGAUUGCUGAGAUUUUAUUACUCUUUCACUUUUACAGCACUUAAAAUAUAUUUAUUCUA